rnacentral:rRNA from 1 species
GAUGAACGCUGGCGGCGUGCCUAACACAUGCAAGUCGAGCGGGAUCUUUUUAAAUGACGCUUCGGUUGAUUUUAAAGAGUGAGAGCGGCGGACGGGUGAGUAACGCGUAGGCAACCUGCCCUUUGCAGAGGGAUAGCCAUUGGAAACGAUGAUUAAAACCUCAUAAUGCCAUUUUAAGACAUCUUAAGAUGGCCAAAGAUUUAUCGGCAAAGGAUGGGCCUGCGUCUGAUUAGCUAGUUGGUGAGGUAACGGCUCACCAAGGCGACGAUCAGUAGCCGACCUGAGAGGGUGAUCGGCCACAUUGGAACUGAGACACGGUCCAA